UAUCCGUGUCCUCCGACCUCCCUCUCUCUCUCUGACCAGCCCUCUCUUCUCUCCUCUCUCCACUCUCACCCAUCCACAACGUUGGCCUCCUCUCAGUCUCAAUUCUCAUCCCUCUCAAACAGAAUUUUCUGUGUGUUAUAGAAGCCACUAAAGCAAUGUUGUCGAUGGAAAAAAAUUCCCGCCGAUAACAAAGUGCGGCGAGUCGACGACGACUUCGUACGGUUCUAUCGUAGCCGAUCUGGACGGAACACUUUUGAUCUCCAGAAGCUCCGUCUCUUACUUCAUGCUCGUCGCCAUGAGUGGACCACAAGACAGUACCAUUGAACUUUGCUAAGGAACACCUUAAGAAUGAGGGUUCUGUCAUUCUUUUGAUUUCGGACAGAGGAUUUUGGUCUGUUAAAUUUGAAAUAAAGCACAAAAACUAUAGCAAAAGGAGAGCUGAAUUUAGUUGUGGUUGGAAAGUCUUUGCCAAGAACAAUUAUUUGAAAGUUGGUGAUGGCUGCAUUUUCGAGCUUCUUAAGAGAUCCGAAAAUGUAUUCAAGGUUUCCAUUGACUGUGCUGCUGAUUAUGCAGCCGACUAAAAUCUCAAGCUGGUGGAAUCAAAGCAAAGCCAAAAGGAGAAGUGGGAGAAGUUACUGAGUUGUUUUUUGAAUUAUGUAUGCAUAAUGGAGAACUUGCUAUGCUUUAAAACUCAAAACUAAAAAUGGUGAAUGAAUCUAUGAGUCAUGCUGAGUGUGUUGAGUUUGUGAAGAAAUUCAAUUUGCCCUUACUGGUUACUGGAGGCGGUGGAUACACAAAAGAGAACGUUGCUCGAUGUUGGACUGUUGAAACUGGAGUUCUUCUAGACAGAGAGCUUCCAAAUGGAUAAUGCGAACACUAAAUCGUAUCUUACUACGAUCAAAGUAAUAAUGUAAUGGAAUAUCAUAGGAUUGACUUUUAAGGUGGAUGCUUAGAUUUAUUAGGAAGAGUAUUGAGAAAAGAAACAUGAUUGAGUUCGCAUUGAUUUGGAGAAGAGAAUUAUGUUGUCUUGUUGAGAUUUGUUGUAUUAUAUAUUUUGAAGUUUAUAGAUUUAUAAUAUUAUAAUGAAUUUUUAUUGAGAAUAAUUUAUUCUCAUGGGGAUUUGAUGUAUUAUUUACAUUUAAAUUGUAUGAAUAAAUGUUGUAUGCAUAUGAAUUUUUAUUAUAAUAAAUAUAAUUUUUUUU